GACAGAGGGUGCAAACGUUGUUCGGAAUUACUGGGCGUAAAGCGCGUGUAGGCGGCUAAGUAAGUCGGGCGUGAAAUCCCACGGCUCAACCGUGGAAGUGCACUCGAAACUGCGUAGCUAGAGUCCUGGAGAGGAAGGUGGAAUGACUUGGUGUAGAGGUGAAAUUCGUAGAUAUCAAGCGGAACACCGGUGGCGAAGGCGGCCUUACUGGACAGUGACUGACGCUGAGACGGCGAAAGCGUGG
rnacentral:rRNA from 1 species